rnacentral:misc_RNA from 1 species
UAAUUAACUGUUAAAAGACACUGAA